AAGCGCAUCGAGGGAGCCCGCUCAAGCUGAAGCGCUGCACGAGCUGUGUCUUCCUUCUCUCCGCCGCGAAUGCGGGCAGGAUGCGAGCAAAAGACCCGGCAAAGAGGGCGCCGAGGGGGCGCAGCCGGGGCGCUGGGCGGACCCAGAGGGGACAUGGAGAGGAACGCGGAAGGUGCCCUCUGCGGUGGGCAUUACUAUUUCCACCAUCCUCAUGAUGGAUCUGGAAUCCACGGGGGUCCCCUGCCCAGGAUCGUGCAGCCUGUGGAAGGCAGCAGGCGCCGGGAUGCCGAAUGGAUUGAAUGAGCUUCUCGGGGAUUCCCUGAGCUUGGUGAACGCAGAGCCCACCCUGACGGUCAGGCCUAACCCCACCGCCAAUAACAGAGCAGCCCUAGGUGGAAGUGGGCUGCCUGUGCCUGGCACUGGGAGCGGCAGAGGCGGCUGCCGCUGUGGAAGUAGCGCCCGCAGUGCCAAGCUCCUGUGCCUGGGAGGACGCGGGCACUGGGCGACCUGCAGUCGGGGCUGCCCCCAGGCAGGGCUCCCUGGCUUUCUCACAGC
ensembl:lncRNA novel transcript, antisense to TRIM29